rnacentral:rRNA from 1 species
UACGAAGGGGGCUAGCGUUGCUCGGAAUCACUGGGCGUAAAGCGCACGUAGGCGGAUUCUUAAGUCAGGGGUGAAAUCCUGGAGCUCAACUCCAGAACUGCCUUUGAUACUGAGGGUCUUGAGUUCGGGAGAGGUGAGUGGAACUGCGAGUGUAGAGGUGAAAUUCGUAGAUAUUCGCAAGAACACCAGUGGCGAAGGCGGCUGACUGGUCCGGUUCUGACGCUGAGGCGCGAAAGCGUGGGGAGCAAACAGG